AUUGAAUACGGAUUAGAAAAAUGAUAUAUUUUUUAAAUUAUUUGAUAAAACUUUUAUAAACAACUUGUAUAUAGAAUACUGUAUUUUAGCUAAAUAAACAAAAAUGAUUACAGACGACCAGUUAGCUGUUUUUUCAAAUUUUUUGGGAGUAACGCUAUUUCUUCUAGUUGUUCUAUACCAUUACAUUGCCGUUAAUAAUCCAAAGAAGAAGGAAAAUUAAAGUUUGUUUGGAUAGUUGGAAAAGUGCAUAGUAGUCGUUUAAUGAUGUAUUUGUAUAUUAUUUGAUAUAUUUGUAUAUUAAAAAUAA